rnacentral:rRNA from 1 species
UGGGGAAUUUUGGACAAUGGGCGCAAGCCUGAUCCAGCCAUGCCGCGUGCGGGAAGAAGGCCUUCGGGUUGUAAACCGCUUUUGUCAGGGAAGAAAUCUUCUGAGUUAAUACCUCGGGAGGAUGACGGUACCUGAAGAAUAAGCACCGGCUAACUACGUGCCAGCAGCCGCGGUAAUACGUAGGGUGCAAGCGUUAAUCGGAAUUACUGGGCGUAAAGCGUGCGCAGGCGGUUUUGUAAGACAGAGGUGAAAUCCCCGGGCUCAACCUGGGAACUGCCUUUGUGACUGCAAGGCUUGAGUGCGGCAGAGGGGGGAUGGAAUUCCGCGUGUAGCAGUGAAAUGCGUAGAUAUGCGGAGGAACACCGAUGGCGAAGGCAAUCCCCUGGGCCUGCACUGACGUUCAUGCACGAAAGCGCGGGGAGCAAAACAGGAUUAGAUACCCUGGUAGUCCACGCCCUAAAACGAUGUCAAACUGGUUGUUGGGAAGGUUCCUUCUCAGUAACGUAGCUAACGCGUGAAGUUGACCGCCUGGGGAGUACGGCCGCAA